ACGUAGGUGGCAAGCGUUGUCCGGAUUUAUUGGGUUUAAAGGGUGCGUAGGCGGUUCCAUAAGUCAGUGGUGAAAUACAAUAGCUUAACUAUUGAGGUGCCAUUGAUACUGCGGAACUUGAGUACAGACGAGGUAGGCGGAAUUGACGGUGUAGCGGUGAAAUGCUUAGAUAUCGCCAAGAACACCGAUAGCGAAGGCAGCUUACUAGACUGUAACUGACGCUGAGGCACGAAAGUGUGGGGAUCAAACAGGA
rnacentral:rRNA from 1 species